GCACGUUUGACCGAGUAUAACUCUCUUAUCUGAACGAAUUUGGACAAUCUAUAAAUUGGAUCUUGUAGACGAAAUACCAGACUACAAUUACCAACAAUCAUAACGUUUAAACAACAUCCGAUCUGGGAGAAAUCAGCCAUCAAAGUAGCUUCCAAAGCCGUUCUUCACGAAGAACAGUUUGAGGUGCUUACUUUGGACCUCUAUA
rnacentral:lncRNA from 1 species